rnacentral:lncRNA from 1 species
UAUAUAUAUAUUUCAACUGUACAGCAUGGAGACCCAGUUACACAUACAUAUAUACAUUCUUUUUUCUCACAUUACGUGUUCCAUCAUAAGUGACUAGACAGAGUUCCCAGUGUGACUCAGCAAGAUCCCAUCGCUAAUCCAUCCCAAAGGCAACAUUCUGCAUCUAUUUACCCCAAGCUGCUUACCAAGAGCUGUUCUUAAAAAGAAAUUCCAAUGCUGAAAAAAGCUGAGAAUGACUGAUGCAAUAGGAUCAUGACAGAGGAGUCCAAAAGAUCACAUUUAUUUUACAUCUUAGGAUGAAAACUCUCGAAACCAAACUCAAGGGUUUAUUACUACAAGUUUGGAAAGUUUGGACAGCACCAAGCACAUAUACCCACUGGGCUAAGGGAAUCCACCAGGGCUCUCAGCCUUACCUCUUUGCUGGGCUGGGGAGCAGACACGGCCACACCCAUUGCUGGUGCAUCGUCUUCCUUCCCCACAGUCCUGGUCUACACGGCACUCCGUCACACAGAUACCUACAUCUUGAGAAAAGACCGGGUUGAGAUGCUCACAUUAAACCAGUACUUAUCUUAUAAAUGACCCUGACCUCAUGACAGCAUUUUACAUUUUGAUCUGGUACUUCACUGUUUAAACAUGAUCUCACAUAGAACUUCAUCCCUCUAAUAAAAAAAGAUCCGAAGUAUUUACAGGACUAUUUGGAGCAUUUCCUUAGGACUGAAGUACCUGUAGGAAAGAAAGCUGCAAAGAAAGCAGGUUAGUAGUAACUCAAACGGGCUUUAAUUGGUAGGUUUUCUUAUUUAUAUUUCACAGACGAGGACAUAGAGAGAUAUCUGGUCAAUGGCAGAGUUGGGAUUUGAAUUCAGGGCUAUUUGCCUUGAAAGCUCAUGUCCCUUUUGCUCUACAGCUCCGUGAAAUUAACCUUGAAUACAAAGUUGAGCCCCCAAAGGUCAAGAAAUUCUUUCUGAUGGAAGUAGACAGUUUCCUGGAUUCUAACCCCUAAAAAGGUCUCAGUGUGGCUACUCACUAUUGAGGGAGAUGGAGUUGAAAGAUGGGGACAGGCCUGGAAGCUGCAUCAAAGCCUUGGGUAAGAGAACACCACCUGUGCCAUCAUCACAGCACCAUCAACAAGAGAAUUCUCACUGCGGGUCCUGCCACCUGGCUGACCUGCUUCUACCACUAGCCCUGUCCUUCUCUCUCAGCCUUCCUUUUAUCAUCUGCAAACUGAGGUUGUCUUGGGUGUGGCCUGGGGAAGUGGGGGAAGACUAGACCAGUUGGAGUGACUCCUCAAAUGUGGCUGAUUCUCAGAGUCACCUGGGAGCUUUGGAAAGAAGUACAGAGAGCAGGACCUGGUCCAGACCUGAUUGCUCAGGUUUUCCAGGGCUGAACCUAUAAAUGUAGAAUUUACUGAGUGUCCCCAGGGAUAGAGACCCUCCCAGAGCCAGUGUGCCUCCGACACUGUAGGAGUCCAGAAGCUGCUGCCAAUUUGAUAAGGAAGCUUGGGGACCAUAGCUGUCUCUCAGUAUUUAAUCCUUCCUUCCCUCCUUCCUUCCUUCCUUCCUUCCUUCCUACAUUGUUCAUUUAUUCAUUCAUACAUUCCCUUGUACCUAAUUCAUUUCCUUAUUCUUUUUUUAAAAAGUACCUACUAUAUGUAAGGGACAGGACUAGAUGUUUCAGGGAGUAGAGAUGUAAGUCAGGGUUUGUGUCAGCAAGGCAGAAAAAACCUGGGAUGGGAAAUCCAAGCUCUCCUAUAAGUACAUUUCCCAGCACUAUACAUGUAGUAAGUACCAUGAAAGAGGUACUGCAAAGAGAUAAAGGAUAGGAGUGGCUUAACCAUUACUGUGCUAGAAAAUAAGCUGGGGUUUAAAUGCCCACACAGAGACAUGUGCCUGCACAAACAGACAAAAUUUAGAUUUCAGGAGCAGAUGCUAGGAAAGGGCUGAGGCAAAGAAUGAAUGGAGCCCUUCCUAAGAGUUACCAUCCUCAUUUUAUCACUUUAACAAAUUAUUCAAUUUAGGAGUUCCCUGUGGCCGAGUUGGAUAAGGACCUCCCUGCUUUAGCCUGGGUUCAAGCCAUGACCUGGAAACUUCCACAUGCUGCAGGAGCAGCCAAAAAACUCCACAAAACCAAAGGAAAUUAUACACUUUAUAAACUGUCAACUAUUGCGAAAAAGUUCACAAUCUCUAUAGAACUUUAUAGUUUAAAGAGUGGUUUCACCAGGUACAUGAAUGAACAGAGAUGAUUUUAUUCUUAGAUGUUGAUCUAAUGUAUUUAUGGCUCUCGACUCUUCCUAGAUUCUGCCUACCCAAUGCCCUACCCUCUUUAGUCAAUGGCAAUCUGAGUUUCCUGGCAAGGGCACACCAGCCUGGAGUAAAGGAGCCAGGGCUUGGCAGUGAGUUUUAAACUAGGCUCUGUUGAAUUAGACAACAACAGGCUCUGCUGAGCAAGAAAGGGUUUUGUAAAUGUCAGAAGUGCCUCUUUACACAUACAAGGCUUAGAACUCUGAGCAGAGAGAAGAUGCAGGACAUAUGUGAGUUCUCACCCUACAGAAAAGGGCAAAGUCUUUCUGAUUAAUGAAGAAGAGGGGGUGGGGAAGCAGUAUCAGAAGGAAGGAAGGAGGGAGUGAGAGGAGAGGAAAGGGAAGGGACUAUUGAUGAAAACAAACAUUCAUAACCUCUUUCACUCCUAAGAAGUAUAUUCUGGAGGACACAUUUCCACAGAUAGACAAAAAUUAAAAUUCAUUAAAGCUUCCUGAGCAACAGCCAAAAAUGUCAUGUAAAUAAAAUGACCACCAAAGGGUACUGGUUAAAUGGAUUAUGAUAAAUUUACUCAUUAGUAAUCAUUUCAUCCAAAAAGAAUGAGAUGCAUUUGUGUUGACAAGGAAAGAUGUCCAUAUUUAAUGUUAAAUUGUAAAAGAUAUAUGUAAAACAUGAUAGGAUACCUUAUACAAGACAAUGGGAUAUAUGUUAAUUUAUGCAAAUUGAGGCCAUAAUAUAGAGCUUGUGCUAAUUUCCUUAUGCUUCACAGACAGACCUGGGCUCUCCCCAUCCUUAUCAAUGUGGCCACAGGUAAGUCAUCUCACUGCUCUAAGCCUGGUGUCCUCAGCUGUAUAACACUGAUACCUGGCACGACUCUAACUCUGAGAUGUAAAAGCAGUGAUCUCAGAACCUGCCUGGCAAAUAGCAGGAGAUCAGGACUUGCUUCUUCCCACAGUGCCUGUGUAUCUGUCAGGAAUCAGUUAAUACAGGAGGUUGGUAAAGCCUUCUAGACACCAAAUAUUGUCAAAUAGUUCACACUGCAGUAUUUCAAAGACACAAGGAAUUUGUUGUAUCCAAUAAGUUACAAAACACAUUGAGUCCACUGGAUAAUCAAUCAUCAUAGGGUUGCCUGCCAUUGUGUACAUAAUUAUGUUGUCCAGUUGGGGGCACUGUUUGCAGUGUGAGUGGGGUGACUUAAGGAAGAGGAUAGAAAUCAGGGGAUGGGAGAGCCAAAGCAAAGAAACUAGGUUCAAUCUUUUGUGUUCUCAUCUAUAAAAUAGAGGUGAGAGGAAUACCUCCAUCUCUGCUCCCUAAAGUUCUCAAGAUUAAACAAAAUCAUGGAUUUUGAAAAGACCUGGGGAGUUCCCGUUGCGGCACAGUGAUUAACCAUGAAAACACCCGGCACAGAGAGAUUGCCCAAUGGGUGUUUUUCACUCUCUCACACUCCGGAGGAUGCCAACUUAUUGCAAAGGAUUAUUGAAGCAAUCUCUAAAAACAAGUAAAUAGUUCAUAAACAUCACUGAAGUUUGUUGAUAAAUUGCAGGUAAUUUAAAAACCAUAAACUCAUAUGAAAUCUCUACCAUUGUCAAAUAGUGAAAAAUGAAAAUAUAGCCAGCAUUAUGAAGUUUAUCAAACUUUUUUUAAAAAUUAACACUUAAUAUUUAUAUAUGUAUGUAUGUAUUGGCAGCUCUGCAGCAGAUGGAGUUGCUGAGCCAGGGAUCAGAGUCACAUGUGUGACCUAUGCCACGGAAACUGCAACCCUGCAGCUUUAAACCCACUGUGCCAGGCCGGGGAUCAAACCCUCAUCCUGGCACUGCAGAGAUGCCGCUGAUCCCAUUGGGCCACAGUGGGAACUGCUAUCAAACUUGUUGACAAACACAGUGCAUCCUCACAACAGCAAACUGGCAAAGUAUCUUUGGAUCAAAAAAAACAUACCUGCUCUUUGAGUCAGCAGUACCAUUUCUAGGAAUGUUUCCCAGGCAAAUAAUCAAGUUACACAUGGAAAGGUUUUGUUCUGAGAGACUCUUUGAUAGCAAAAUAUCAGAGAAGUUUCAGAGUCCCGUGGUCAAGAAUUAGUAAACAGAAUGUGGUAUCUCACAACGAAAAUGCUUUGAAGCCUCUCAAGAAGAAUAGAAUUGUAGAAAUGUGUCCACACUCAGAGAAAGCUAGUCACUGUAUAUUACCAGUUGUAAAAAGAAAAUGGGCAAGGUUUUAAACAUUUGUGGAGUGUGAUGCUAUAAUUAUUUGGCAUUGUACCCUCUGAAUAUAUAUGUGGAAGGAUAUGAACAAACAGGUAAUAAUGUUUAUCCUCUGGUCAUGGCAUAAUGGGCACAUUUUGCCUUCCAUUUGUUGGCUGUAGUUCCUGAUCUUCUCUACUGAGUAUGUACUCCUUGAGCAAAUGCAAUGAUUUUUCUCUCAGGAUUCUCAGCCUUGAAAAUGUUGGGAUAAAGGGUCUCAUGACUGCAGUUUUUCUCAAAGAGCAAGAGCAGAGGAGACCCCAGGCAGUCAGUGUAUUUAUUCCCCCCACCUUUCUGGGGGACCACACCCUUGUGAAAGGUGAGAUCACGCCAAGCUCCUACAUCUCCUGGGACAGGCUGGGGUGGAGGCACUCAGGACUCACCGACUUGAUGGACGGGGGCGCAGACGUGCCCACAGCCCUUCCUCACGCAC